AUUGAACGCUGGCGGCACGCUUUACACAUGCCAGUCGAACGGUAACAGGCCGCAAGGUGCUGACGAGUGGCGCACGGGUGAGUAAUGCAUCGGAACGUGCCCAGGCGUGGGGGAUAACUACUCGAAAGAGUAGCUAAUACCGCAUACGAUCUAUGGAUGAAAGCGGGGGACCGUAAGGCCUCGCGCGAUUGGAGCGGCCGAUGUCAGAUUAGGUAGUUGGUGGGGUAAAGGCUCACCAAGCCAACGAUCUGUAGCUGGUCUGAGAGGACGACCAGCCACACUGGGACUGAGACACGGCCCAGACUCCUACGGGAGGCAGCAGUGGGGAAUUUUGGACAAUGGGCGCAAGCCUGAUCCAGCAAUGCCGCGUGCAGGAAGAAGGCCUUCGGGUUGUAAACUGCUUUUGUACGGAACGAAACGGCUCUGGUUAAUACCCGGGGCUAAUGACGGUACCGUAAGAAUAAGCACCGGCUAACUACGUG
rnacentral:rRNA from 1 species